rnacentral:rRNA from 1 species
UGGGGAAUAUUGCACAAUGGGCGCAAGCCUGAUGCAGCAACGCCGCGUGAGUGAAGAAGGCCUUCGGGUCGUAAAACUCUGUCCUAAGGGAAGAAGAAGUGACGGUACCUUAGGAGGAAGCCCCGGCUAACUACGUGCCAGCAGCCGCGGUAAUACGUAGGGGGCAAGCGUUAUCCGGAAUCACUGGGCGUAAAGGGUGCGUAGGCGGCUGAUCAAGCCAGGGGUGAAAGGCUGUGGCUUAACCAUGGUAAGCCUUUGGAACUGGUCAGCUUGAGUGCAGGAGAGGAAAGCGGAAUUCCUAGUGUAGCGGUGAAAUGCGUAGAUAUUAGGAGGAACACCCGUGGCGAAGGCGGCUUUCUGGACUGUAACUGACGCUGAGGCACGAAAGCGUGGGGAGCAAACAGG